AAAUGAAUUGACGGGGGCCCGCACAAGCAGUGGAGUAUGUGGUUUAAUUCGAAGCAACGCGAAGAACCUUACCAGGUCUUGACAUCGAGUGACGUACUAAGAGAUUAGUACACCCUUCGGGGCACAAAGACAGGUGGUGCAUGGUUGUCGUCAGCUCGUGUCGUGAGAUGUUGGGUUAAGUCCCGCAACGAGCGCAACCCUUGCCAUUAGUUGCUACGCAAGAGCACUUUAAUGGGACUGCCGUUGACAAAACGGAGGAAGGUGGGGACGACGUCAAAUCAUCAUGCCCCUUAUGACCUGGGCUACACACGUACUACAAUGGCAAUUAACAGAGGGAAGCUAAGCAGUGAUGUGGAGCGAAUCCCUAAAAAUUGUCUCAGUUCGGAUUGUAGGCUGCAACUCGCCUACAUGAAGUCGGAAUUGCUAGUAAUCGCAGAUCAGCAUGCUGCGGUGAAUACGUUCCCGGGCCUUGUACACACCGCCCGU
rnacentral:rRNA from 1 species